rnacentral:lncRNA from 10 species
GCGGGAUGAUUGGCGUCCGAGCGCUGGGCUGUUCCGUGGACCCGCGCGGCCACGCCAGUGUGCUGUGCACGGGAAAUGUGGACGUGGGAGCACGGAGGCACCCAGUACUGUGGCGUGGUGCUCGUCUGGUCGUCAGCGAGCCUCAGCGUACUUAGGACACCGCAGUUUAUCUUUCCUUAGCGCUCCUAACGGUUAUGGAAAAUAGCGCUUGAAAACCUGGUAAGGACUAGGCAUUGUUGCUCAACUCUUGACAUUUACACCUUUGCCGGUAACUCUCCCUGUUUCACAGAUGGGGAAACGGAGGCUCACACUUAUUCAGUCUCUCUUGAGAUCCACCUGAUUCGUGAGAGGUAGAGCCAGGAUUUCAUUCUUGCCCGUCGAUGGCAUAUGUUAGUGCCUAUGUUGGGGGAGGCAGACUGCCCCAGCCCUCCCCAACACACGCAAUGGUUAUGAGAAGAAAUAAAGCGAAGGGUGUUCCUGAGAUUGACCCCAUGACCUACACUUAGUACAAGGCUAAGCUCUCUUAGCUCUCUGGCUUAGCAAUAAACUGCUUUGAAGACACAGAACUUUGCACUUGAGAGCCGGAAGAGACCUUGGGAAUCCCGGGUUCCAUCCUUUCUUCCACCUUGUAUACAGGUGAAUGCACUGUGGCCCAGAGAUAGGAAGUGACCAGCAAUCCAGCCACUUUAAAAGAUUUUUAAAAACAAGAGCCCUAGAAACGUCUACUCCAUUCCAUUUAUCAAGUAAAACAAGCAUAGACAGAACUGGCAGUUCUACAUCUUAACACAGAAUCCUUCUUGGUCCAGCACCCGCCUGGGUCACCUCCUCUUCCUGGAUUCAGCUACUGUUAACGGAAGAAACCAUGAAGCCUCAGAAGGUUAGAGCCAAAGGGACUCUACUGUGUAGCCCCAAUCACCUUCUUUUACAGUUAAGAGCCUGGAACCCAGAGAGGUUGAGUGACUUGGCCAAGACCCCCUGGAGGCAGAGGAGAGCAGAACCAAUGUUUCAGACUCCCACAUGACUUGCGCAUCAGUGUCUUUUUUUUGACAAUCUGUUGCUAUAAGAAAUUACUCGUUUGGAUAAUUUUCACACUAGAAAACCCUGUGACCCAAGGCUAGCAUUGAGAAGCUAAAGCUGGCCACUGACAUACUGUGAUUUUAAGGACA